GCCGGGAUGGUCUAAUCGGCUAAGGCGUUGCCCCAAAUAGGUGAAGGUUGCGGGUUCGAUCCUCGCUCCUGGCC
rnacentral:tRNA from 1 species